rnacentral:lncRNA from 1 species
UAAAAUUUCACUUGUAUGUGUGCAACAUUAUGUAAAUCACUUUAGUUUAGGGCCAGCUUGAUAAAGCAGGGGUGAUUCAAUUAAUCAGCUUAUCAAAAAAAAAAAAAAAAAUCUGAAAAAAGUUCUCAAAGAAAAAGUCUCCAAAAAGUUGGGGGUCUUUUUUUUUCCUCUUUAAAAAUAAAAUUAAAGCCAUAGAAGGUUAACUAGGUAAAUUGCCAGCAAUCUAAGUUCAAAAUAUACAGGUUAGCAAUGAGCUAGUUAAUGGGGCACGGGUGAAGAGGACGGUUAGAAGUGUUGCAGAUUUAAGGGCUGUGUAGACAUCCAAUCUGCUCAGGUUUGAGUGACCUUCAGAUGUGGUCCUGAAAGAUCUGAUACGUGGGCUUCCGAUUCGUGGGUCUUUUGAUUUCAUAAGGAGCGUCCUGAAGAAAGGCAGAGUUGGGGCACACGGUGAGAGGUGUACAUUGAGCUGAGAGCGUGCCGAGCUGCCACAUGCUCACAUUGUGAUCGAAUGGAAAAGUGGCGUCAGAGGUGCCUGAUCGGACAGCUG